rnacentral:lncRNA from 1 species
CGACCCCCGAUGAGUGGCAACACCUUGACACUAAUGGUGACGGCUUCGAUCCUCGACAACCACAGCAACACCACGCUCGAUAACGGCAACCAUUCUGACGGGAGGAAGAAGAUGGACAAAAAUAGGGGAAGUUUGAACUCCUAUGAAAUCCAAUGGCCGGCGGCUCAAUCCAGCCAUCAAAAGCUUUCUACAAUUUGGGAAGGAG